GAUGAACGCUGGCGGCGUGCCUAAUACAUGCAAGUCGAGCGAACAGACGAGGAGCUUGCUCCUCUGACGUUAGCGGCGGACGGGUGAGUAACACGUGGAUAACCUACCUAUAAGACUGGGAUAACUUCGGGAAACCGGAGCUAAUACCGGAUAAUAUAUUGAACCGCAUGGUUCAAUAGUGAAAGACGGUUUUGCUGUCACUUAUAGAUGGAUCCGCGCCGCAUUAGCUAGUUGGUAAGGUAACGGCUUACCAAGGCAACGAUGCGUAGCCGACCUGAGAGGGUGAUAGGCCACACUGGAACUGAGACACGGUCCAGACUCCUGCGGGAGGCAGCAGUAGGGAAUCUUCCGCAAUGGGCGAAAGCUUGACGGAGCAACGCCGCGUGAGUGAUGAAGGUCUUCGGAUCGUAAAACUCUGUUAUUAGGGAAGAACAAAUGUGUAAGUAACUAUGCACGUCUUGACGGUACCUAAUCAGAAAGCCACGGCUAACUACGUG
rnacentral:rRNA from 1 species